GUGGAUUAGAUACCCUGGUAGUCCACGCCGUAAACGGUGGGCACUAGGUGUGGGGGACUUUCCAUGUUCUCCGUGCCGUAGCUAACGCAUUAAGUGCCCCGCCUGGGGAGUACGGCCGCAAGGCUAAAACUCAAAGGAAUUGACGGGGGCCCGCACAAGCGGCGGAGCAUGCGGAUUAAUUCGAUGCAACGCGAAGAACCUUACCUGGGUUUGACAUGCACGAGACGCGUUCAGAGAUGGGCGUUCCUUCGGGUUCGUGUGCAGGUGGUGCACGGCUGUCGCCAACU
rnacentral:rRNA from 1 species